UACAGAGGGUGCGAGCGUUAAUCGGAAUUACUGGGCGUAAAGCGCGCGUAGGCGGCUUUGCAAGUCGGGUGUGAAAUCCCCAGGCUUAACCUGGGAACUGCAUUCGAGACUGCAUUGCUAGAGUAUGGGAGAGGGAAGUGGAAUUUCCGGUGUAGCGGUGAAAUGCGUAGAUAUCAGGAGGGAACACCUGUGGUGUAGACGGCUCUCUGGGGACGGUACUGACGCUGAGACGCGAAAACUGGGGGAGCGAAACAGG
rnacentral:rRNA from 1 species